GGAGGCGUGCCAGAGCGGCCGAAUGGGGCUCACUGCUAAUGAGUUGUCCCCUUCAAGGGGACCGGAGGUUCAAAUCCUCUCGCCUCCGCCA
rnacentral:tRNA from 1 species